GUGCUCUGCUGAGCACUCUGUCAGGUCUGUGACAGUCAACAGCAAAUAAGGAUCUGCAAUGCAGAGCACAAGUUGUCAUUAUCAACUGAGACAUUCCAUCUAAAACCAGAUGGAGAGAGAUGCCACUCCUUGUUUUACAAAAUGCACAUUGAGAAGAGCUGGGUUCUAGUCACGCCCUCAAAAGAUGGAAGCACAGACCAAGUUAUGUAACCUCUCCAGGCUACUUCUGUCCUGAACUGCAGCGGUCUCUGAGAGGAAUUGACUGGGGCUGGGAGCUAACCUUUUCCUGGAGACCUACGAGUAGGACAACCUUGCUGUCUGAGCAGCUGAGCAUCUGAAGGACAGCAAGGAGCAUUCCCACAACUGGGAAGAGCAGGGAGAACACGAAGAGCAAGGCCUUGCAAAAGGCCCAAGAAAAGCCUGCUGAAGGAGUCAGAGCACUACUUCUGCAGAUUGCCAAAGUCAACAUACUGAAACUGAGUCUAGAGGACAUCACUGAUGUGCCUACAUGUAGGGGGUUUGUAAGGAUGUUCAAUUCUAUCUUGCCUCUGGCAAUUUGAAUUUUAUCUGUCCUAAAAUGCUGGUGAUCAUCUGCCCUAAUGUAACCAUUCCCAGUGUUUAAAGACAACAAAUAAAAAAUAUGUGUAAAUACAGCUCCUAAUUUUAUAAGACCUUUUGGGCUUAUACAUGUGCUUGCAGUUUUAUCACAAAACUUUUAAAACUUCUAGUUGUGAAAAUAAUUUUAAAAUCUUGUUAGGAGCUUGAAACUGAUGGAAGAUUAAAAGUUAUGGUACUAAAUUAUAAUGAAAAUCCAAAUAUAUACUUUCAAAGAGAAAUAUGUUUAGCAUUUGCUGCCAUUACUUUCAGCAUUAAGUUUUGGUAUGAAGAGCCUCUGAUGUUGCCAAGUUUUUAUAGACAACCUGCUGUUUGCAAACCAAAGCAAGAAAUGUCCCAUUUCCUGACCUUUGCCUUUGUUUUUAGUUCUCACACACAAAAUAUUUGGUUUGUGAGAGAAAUUUUUAAUAUUCACUAUCAGGCUUAGAUUC